AUGUGUAUGUACGUGUCUCUGUCUGUAUGUAUAUGCAGAGCGAAAAAUGAGGGGACACACACACACACACACACACGCACACGCACACACGCACAC
rnacentral:pre_miRNA from 1 species